rnacentral:rRNA from 1 species
UACGGGGGGGGCAAGCGUUGUUCGGAAUUACUGGGCGUAAAGGGCUCGUAGGUGGCCAACUAAGUCAGACGUGAAAUCCCCCAGCUUAACUGGGGAACUGCGUCUGAUACUGGAUGGCUUGAGUUUGGGAGAGGGAUGCGGAAUUCCUGGUGUAGCGGUGGAAUGCGCAGAUAUCAAGAGGAACACCUGAGGCGAAGGCGGGUUGCUAGGCUGACACUGACGCUGAGGCGCGAAAGCCAGGGGAGCAAACAGG